rnacentral:rRNA from 1 species
AUGGGCGCCGUGGGGUCGUCCGCGAGGCGGGGCGGGGGCACCGCGCUGGGGGACCUGCCGGAGAACUGCGUCGCCGAGGUGAUGCUCAGGCUGAACCCGACGGAGAUCUGCGGGAUGGCGCGGCUCAGCCGCACCUUCCGCGGCGCCGCGUCCGGGGACGCCGUCUGGGAGGCCAAGCUGCCGCGCAACUACGCGCGCCUCCUCGCCGCCGCCGGCGGAGACGAGGAGGCCGCCGCGUUGGAGGCGGAGGCCAUCCCGAAGAAGGAGCUGUACGCGCGGCUCUGCCGCCGCAACUCCCUCGACGGCGGAACCAAGGAGUUCUGGCUCGACAAGGCUGGUGGAGGCACCUGCAUGACAAUCUAUUCGAGGGCGCUUUCGAUCACCGGCAUUGAUGACAGGAGAUACUGGAACUUCAUUCCAAAUGAUGAAUCAAGGUUCCGUUCGGUUGCUUAUCUCUCGCAAAUCUGGUGGUUUGAAGUCAGAGGGGAGGUUGAGUUCUGCUUCCCAGAAGGUACAUACAGCCUGUUCUUCCGUAUUCAUCUUGGCAGGCCUUUCAAGCGGCUCGGUCGCCGGGUUUACAGUGCCGAGCACAUCCAUGGGUGGGACGUAAAGCCGGUGCGCUUCCAGCUAUCGACUUCGGACGGGCAGCAGGCCCAGUCCAAGUGUUACCUAACUGAUCCAGGCGUCUGGAUCUAUCAUCAUGUCGGCGAUUUCGUCGUGAAGGACUCGAACGAGCCACUGAAUAUCCAAUUUGCAAUGGUUCAGAUAGACUGCACACACACAAAAGGAGGCCUGUGUAUGGAUUCAGUGGUUAUAAAACCCAAAUGCCUUGCGCGGAAAAAGGGACCUGGGAGUUAUGAGUAG